rnacentral:rRNA from 1 species
CCUACGGGAGGCAGCAGUGGGGAAUAUUGGGCAAUGGAGGAAACUCUGACCCAGCAACGCCGCGUGAAUGAUGAAGGCUUUCGGAUUGUAAAGUUCUUUUCUAAGGGAAGAAUAGAGUGCCGUUCCUUUAGGAUUAAGCCCUGGCUAACUACGUCCCAGCAGCCGCGGUAAUACGAAGGAGGCAAGCGUUAUCCGGAAUGACUGGGGGUAAGGGGUGCGUAGGUGGUUUGACAAGUUGGUGGCGAAACUCCGGGGCUAAACCUCGGCACUGCAACCAAAACUGUCGGACUUGAGUGCAGGAGAGGCAGAUGGAAUUCCUAGUGUAGCGGUGGAAUGCGUAGAUAUUAGGAGGAACACCAGUGGCGAAGGCGAUUUGCUGGACUGUAACUGACGCUGAGGCACGAAAGCGUGGGGAGCAAACAGGAUUAGAUACCCUGGUAGUC